GCGCCUAACACAUGCAAGUCGAACGGAGCUGUUUUCUCUGAAGUUUUCGGAUGGAAGAGAGUUCAGCUUAGUGGCGAACGGGUGAGUAACACGUGAGCAACCUGCCUUUCAGUGGGGGACAACAUUUGGAAACGAAUGCUAAUACCGCAUAAGACCACAGUGUCGCAUGGCACAGGGGUCAAAGGAUUUAUCCGCUGAAAGAUGGGCUCGCGUCCGAUUAGCUAGAUGGUGAGGUAACGGCCCACCAUGGCAACGAUCGGUAGCCGGACUGAGAGGUUGAACGGCCACAUUGGGACUGAGACACGGCCCAGACUCCUACGGGAGGCAGCAGUGGGGAAUAUUGCACAAUGGGGGAAACCCUGAUGCAGCGACGCCGCGUGGAGGAAGAAGGUCUUCGGAUUGUAAACUCCUGUCCCAGGGGACGGUAAUGACGGUACCCUGGGAGGAAGCACCGGCUAACUACGUGCCAGCAGCCGCGGUAAAACGUAGGGUGCAAGCGUUGUCCGGAAUUACUGGGUGUAAAGGGAGCGCAGGCGGAUUGGCAAGUUGGGAGUGAAAUCUAUGGGCUCAACCCAUAAAUUGCUUUCAAAACUGUCAGUCUUGAGUGGUGUAGAGGUAGGCGGAAUUCCCGGUGUAGCGGUGGAUGCGUAGAUAUCGGGAGGACACCAGUGGCGAAGGCGGCCUACUGGGCACUAACUGAC
rnacentral:rRNA from 1 species